CCUACGGGAGGCAGCAGUGGGGAAUAUUGGACAAUGGGGGGAACCCUGAUCCAGCCAUGCCGCGUGUGUGAAGAAGGCCCUCGGGUUGUAAAGCACUUUCAGUGAGGAAGAACGCCUGGUGGUUAAUACCCAUCAGGAAAGACAUCACUCACAGAAGAAGCACCGGCUAACUCCGUGCCAGCAGCCGCGGUAAUACGGAGGGUGCGAGCGUUAAUCGGAAUUACUGGGCGUAAAGCGCGCGUAGGUGGCUUGAUAAGCCGGUUGUGAAAGCCCCGGGCUCAACCUGGGAACGGCAUCCGGAACUGUCAAGCUAGAGUGCAGGAGAGGAAGGUAGAAUUCCCGGUGUAGCGGUGAAAUGCGUAGCGAUCGGGAGGAAUACCAGUGGCGAAGGCGGCCUUCUGGACUGACACUGACACUGAGGUGCGAAAGCGUGGGUAGCAAACAGGAUUAGAUACCCCAGUAGUC
rnacentral:rRNA from 1 species